GAUGAACGCUGGCGGCGUGCCUAAUACAUGCAAGUCGAGCGAACAGACGAGGAGCUUGCUCCUUUGACGUUAGCGGCGGACGGGUGAGUAACACGUAGGUAACCUACCUAUAAGACUGGGAUAACUUCGGGAAACCGGAGCUAAUACCGGAUAAUAUUUCGAACCGCAUGGUUCGAUAGUGAAAGAUGGCUUUGCUAUCACUUAUAGAUGGACCUGCGCCGUAUUAGCUAGUUGGUAAGGUAACGGCUUACCAAGGCAACGAUCCGUAGCCGACCUGAGAGGGGGAUCGGCCACACUGGAACUGAGACACGGUCCAGACUCCUACGGGAGGCAGCAGUAGGGAAUCUUCCGCAAUGGGCGAAAGCCUGACGGAGCAACGCCGCGUGAGUGAUGAAGGUCUUCGGAUCGUAAAACUCUGUUAUUAGGGAAGAACAAACGUGUAAGUAACUGUGCACGUCUUGACGGUACCUAAUCAGAAAGCCACGGCUAACUACGUG
rnacentral:rRNA from 1 species